rnacentral:ncRNA from 1 species
CCGUCACAACGGCUUCCUGGCGUGGCGGUGUAGCUUUAGUGGAGCA